GGUCAAUGAUGAGCAGUAAAAGGUCUGAUGCCCCGCCGCGCCCUCCCGGCGCCGGCACGCUUCCGAGUCGCGACGUGUCCGCGUGCUCGCCGCGACGCUCACAGCGACAGGAAGCGUCAUCACGACAGGAGUCCGUGUGCAGAUCAUCUCGGCUCCUUGUGAUCAUUUCCGACAACAAAAAAGCGACAGAGUUGAGCGUCGGUCCCGGGAGGGGCGGGGCUACUGAUCUCAAGUUUUCAACCUGAGACC
rnacentral:scRNA from 1 species